UACGUAGGGUGCAAGCGUUGUCCGGAAUUAUUGGGCGUAAAGAGCUUGUAGGCGGUUUGUCGCGUCUGCUGUGAAAUUUCGGGGCUCAACCCCGAACUUGCAGUGGGUACGGGCAGACUAGAGUGUGGUAGGGGAGACUGGGAUUCUGGUGUAGCGGUGAAAUGCGCAGAUAUCAGGAGGAACACCGAUGGCGAAGGCAGGUCUCUGGGCCACUACUGACGCUGAGAAGCGAAAGCAUGGGGAGCGAACAGG
rnacentral:rRNA from 1 species